rnacentral:rRNA from 1 species
AACGAACGCUGGCGGCGUGCCUAACACAUGCAAGUCGUGCGAGAAAGUUUCCUUCGGGGAGCGAGUAAAGCGGCGCACGGGUGAGUAACACGUAGGUAACCUACCUUUCAGUCCGGAAUAACCAGCUGAAAAGCUGGCUAAUGCCGGGUAAGACCACGAUCUCUGCGGGGAUCGCGGCCAAAGGCGGCCUCUUCAUGAAAGCUGAUGCUGAGAGAUGGGCCUGCGUACCAUUAGCUAGUUGGUGAGGUAUCGGCUCACCAAGGCUUUGUAUGGUUAGCUGGUCUGAGAGGAUGACCAGCCACACUGGGACUGAGACACGGCCCAGACUCCUACGGGAGGCAGCAGU